AACGCACAUGGCGCCUUCCAGUAUCCUGGGAGGCAUGCCUGUCCGAGCGUCGUUUCAACCCUCGAGCCCCCGUGGCCCGGCGUUGGGGAUCUGCCACGGCAGGCCCCUAAAACCAGUGGCGGACCCGAAGGGCCCUCUCCUUUGCGCAGUAGCAUUCGCCUCGCAUCGGGAGCCCUCGGCGUCCUGCCUCUAAACCCCCAACAAGCCCGCUCCGGCGGCACCAAGGUUGACCUCGGAUCAGGUAGGAAUACCCGCUGAACUUAA
rnacentral:misc_RNA from 1 species